rnacentral:lncRNA from 1 species
UACCAUUAAUAACUAUAGCAUGCAUAUUUACCGCAUCCUUUUUCACUAGCCAACCCCAGUACUUGUUUACAACAAGUUAUUAUAAACCAACAUUGAAAUGAAUUACAUAAGUAGCAAUGAAAAAUAAGAAGUUACACUAUAUGAAGCAUGAUUAGGACUUCCCCCCUGAGUUGUGUGAUAAAUCACUUCAAGUGCCAAGAUUUGUUCCAUAGUCUUUCUAGUAUCUGAGUAUGUCAGAGUUCCCUAAGGAUCUCAAGGGAUCCCGAGCAGUGUUUAUACCCAAAUUUCAUAGCCAAGAUAGAGUAAGUGCAGUUUGGAAAGUCCAACUUUUAUGUGUCCAAGUUCAGAGGGAGCUCCAGGGUCUCAAGGCAAGGUUCACACAAAAGGGGGAGAACCUAGUGGUCUAAGAGUAUAUGUGAGACUGCUUGACACUGAUUUAAAAGAGUUAGGUUGGAAACGGUUUUGAAAGUGAUUAAUUUGAAAUAAGUUUGCAAUAGCAACAGAAUGGUUGCUUAGGGAAAACAGUUUUGAAGGAGGAAGGGGAUAGGAGCAACAAAAACUUGGAACAAGCCACCACACACAAAAUAAGUUUAAAUAAUAGUACAGUGCUAGAAGUUACAAGCAGAGAAGUAGGGGAUGGGAACAUAGAGGGACCAAAUCAGAAACACAUAAUCAUGGUUGAGAAGAGGUGCAUAUAGACUAGCAAGUAGAAAGAACAAGUAGUGACUGAUUGGUCUCCAGAACACAGACAAUUACUUCAAAGAGUUACCAAGGGAAUCAUGCUAGAAAUUAGAAUAGUAACAAGACAUAGGGACAUGGUAUCGGAGUACUCAUGCAGGAGUCUAUUAUGCAUAAUUAGUCAUGAAUUGGUGUUAACCAAGUAUAUUAAAAGACAUACUAUUUGAGGGAUAUAAAUAGGCAGUCAAGUAGACAUAUGGAUUACAUUUGAACAAAAGAGGGCAAAACUUAAGCAUGUUGAGAAAAGUAGUAGACAAGAAGAGCAAUUAAACAGAUCAGUGUGAAAAGAGACAGGGAUUGACAAACAAUGGAGCACAUAGAGUUGAGUUUCAGAAUUGAACUAGGAACAUACCAGUUAAGGAAGCAAAGUGCAGAAAAAGUGAAGCAAGUAGAGUUCCAUAGUCUAGCCUUGUCUUACAGCCGGCUAGACAAACAAUAUCACAAGUAGUAGAAAAAGAAGAGAGUUUUGAGUAUGUAUAUGUCUAUUCUGAAUUUAUUGUUCGUCGUAAGACUGUAGAAGAGAGUCAUUU